rnacentral:misc_RNA from 1 species
GAUGAAGAACGCAGUGAAAUGCGAUAAGUAAUGUGAAUUGCAGAAUUCAGUGAAUCAUCGAAUCUUUGAACGCACCUUGCGCUCCUUGGUAUUCCGAGGAGCAUGCCUGUUUGAGUGUCAUUAAUAUAUCAACCUUCUCUUUUUUGAGUUGUUUGGAUGUGGGGGUUUGCUGGCCUCUUAAAUGAUUCAGCUCCCCUGAAAUGCAUUAGCAGAACAACCUGUUCAUUAGCGUGAUAAUUAUCUAUGCUAUUGAAUGUGAGGGCAGUUCAGCUUUCUAACCGUCCUUGGACAAUUCAUCAUUAAUGUGACCUCAAAUCAGGUAGGACUACCCGCUGAACUUAAGCAUAUCAAUAAGCGGAGG